rnacentral:rRNA from 1 species
AGUGGACGCAUCACUGGUGUUCGGGUUGUCAUGCCAAUGGCACUGCCCGGUAGCUAAAUGCGGAAGAGAUAAGUGCUGAAAGCAUCUAAGCACGAAACUUGCCCCGAGAUGAGUUCUCCCUGACUCCUUGAGAGUCCUGAAGGAACGUUGAAGACGACGACGUUGAUAGGCCGGAUGUGUAAGCGCAGCGAUGCGUUGAGCUAACCGGUACUAAUGAACCGUGAGGCUUAACCUU